AUUGGACGCUGGCGGCAUGCUUUACACAUGCAAGUCGAACGGCAGCGCGGGCUUCGGCCUGGCGGCGAGUGGCGAACGGGUGAGUAAUGCAUCGGAACGUGCCCAGUAGUGGGGGAUAGCCCGGCGAAAGCCGGAUUAAUACCGCAUACGACCUGAGGGUGAAAGCGGGGGACCGAAAGGCCUCGCGCUAUUGGAGCGGCCGAUGUCGGAUUAGCUAGUUGGUGGGGUAAAGGCUUACCAAGGCGACGAUCCGUAGCUGGUCUGAGAGGACGACCAGCCACACUGGGACUGAGACACGGCCCAGACUCCUACGGGAGGCAGCAGUGGGGAAUUUUGGACAAAGGGGGCAACCCUGAUCCAGCCAUGCCGCGUGCGGGAAGAAGGCCUUCGGGUUGUAAACCGCUUUUGUUCGGGAAGAAAUCCUCUGGGCUAAUACCCCGGGGGGAUGACGGUACCGGAAGAAUAAGCACCGGCUAACUACGUG
rnacentral:rRNA from 1 species